GACAAAAUAUUAUAAAAAAACUAGGGCAAUUUUAAUGAUGAACGAUGUCGAUGUUUUUGGACUUUUUCGUCGAUGCAUCGGCGAUGUAUCGCUUUUCAAAACAUCGAUGCUAACAUCGAUGUUUCAUGAACGAUACAUCGAUGUUUUCAAAACAUCGAUGUAUCGUUUGCAUCCCUAGUGACAGAGCCUUAAGGGACAUUUGGUACGCCAAGUUAAACUCGCGCUGACCAGAUAACUUAUAUAUAUAAAAUAUAUAAUAUAUAAAAUCGACCAACAACUGAAGCUUCCAGCGAAGAUGCCUCGCACAGAAACCUCGGACCAGGCAUGCAUAAUUAUCGGUUACGGCGGCAGCGACGGGUGUACUUCUGCAAAUACGCACGUCGUUCUCAUGUUGGUGCAACUGAUUACGCCUGGGUCUGUUUACGUCCGCGCCUCACACUGCCGGGAGAAAGCUGAAGGCCCUGCCACACUGGCAAAAUUUGACAAUAGUGUUGGAGAGGUGUUGUGAAUACACCUCUAACUAGCUAUUUGCCAGCGAGAAAAAAUGUGUACCAGUGAGCGAGUUACAUCUAGCUCAACAAGCAAGAAAAAACACAAGAAAGUUUCCACGAGUUUGUGUAUUUAUUCUUAAAAUCAAGAAGUUCCCUUGU